UCAUGCACAAACUUCUCCCAGCCAGAAAAAGCCGGUCUGUUACAUCCUGGUGCCUUUGAGUAAUCCCCUGACUUGCAUUCAGAACAAAAAAUAUCUGACCUCAGUCAUCACGAGUGACAUCACUGCCCCCACCCCCUGACCCCCAUCAUCAUCAGGCUUAAGUUUGCAUCUUAAAGGGAACGUGCUGUGUCCUCUGUCACCAGUGGGAGGCGAUGUGAUGUUAAGUGCCCUCUCUGGACUGUGCCCCCAUCGUGCAAGGCCUCUGUUUUGUCAUUCAGGCCGCCUAGCUGCAGUCAUUAUGACCACCACGAGUAUUUAUACCCACUGUGGCCUUUGUCGCAUUUAGAAACCCUGGCUGCCCUGAGCACAAACCACCGCCAGAAACUGCCCGAGUCCCCGCUUUGUUUCCCCGGCUGACCUCCUGAUUUUACAGCAUUGGGUCACAGAAAAAAAAAAAAAAAGCGCCUCUCAUCGGUGUGUCCCGAAAAGGAGCAAACAAGAUGAAAUCAGCAGGGCAUUCAGUGGCGUUCCCAUUGUGCGAAUAUAUGUAUUCUUUGUCUUGUUCUUUGCAGCUUUGUGUUUAGCAGAGCGUGUCACCUCACAUGGAGCUAUUUUUAGCCGAGGGAGAACUGCGUCGUAGUGGGAGUUUUAUGUCGGGGUGGGGCGACUGUGAAGCGCUUCAGAGAAAUACGAUAAACCGUAACGGGGUUGGCUUCCGCUGAACAGGACAAACACGUCCCACUUCUGAUAACCCAAGCACAAAACAGUAUGUCAGCUGUAGAAAAUAAAGAGAAUUAGAGAAACGGAGAGCAGAUGAAUGAAAUCAGGGAGAAACGCAGCUCUCAAGCUGAGCCCAUGCACGAAACUGCAAUCACAGAAGGAAAUAUACAAACAUGUGGUUUAGUUGUAAAGUAUAGCUCUGCUCUGUUGCUAUCGAGAGGGUGCUAUUUAUUUAGUUGCAAUUUCGCUGCCCACUCAGUCAUUUAAAAAAUUGCCAAGGAAUGCCCAAGAGCCGGUUACUAGUGGCUGGCAUUCAUAUUUUAGGGAAAUUUAGAGCCUCCACCUGGCUCGGAUAUGACCUUGGAAUGUGAAAGGAAACCAGAGGAGGUCAUCUACACCAAGAACAUGCAAAUCAAAUCAGAGUUUUUUUUUUUUGGUAUUUCAGCAAAACACUCCAUUGACACACAAAGUAUUUCAAAGCACUUUACAGGAAAAUAAAGGAACAGACACCAAGGCACAAGCAUACAUGUAGCAGUCCCUGUGUGUAUUCUCCAGAGUGUUGAUCUUUUUCCUACUUCUGCCUCCACUUUCAAAUCCACCAUGCAUCAUAUUAGACAUGAGUACCUUUUCAGUACUUUGUUCAUCCUUCCUGUUAUCAGUUGCAAGUCUUACUCUCUCUGCUCCUCCAACAGCCUCUGUGAAGCUCAGGCAUAGAUUAUGCAGUUUCUUUUGAAAUACCUUGUUACAUCUCUAAGUAACUAAACACCUGAGUCUCCCUCUGUAACACCAUCCGCACCGAUGAGUGGUGCAAUUACUGCUGCCCUAUAGCUUAGCUCCUUGUUUCAUGUUCCUGCAGCGGAAAUCUACAAAUAAUACGUCCAUGUUAUAGAAUAAAGAGAUUAGUGCAAAUAAAACCUGCCAGAAAAUAAAGAAAAAACAAAACAGAUUAUGAUUCCUUAACACUUUCUCCUUUUCAUUUUUUAAUUAGAAAUCUCAAAAUAUGACUGCCAUACCGCAGAAUGUUCACUAAUUCUGUUCUACAGGAUUAACUUAAAAUAAACGUCCGUCUCCACUAUUAUAUUUGGGAGGAAAAAGCUCUAAUUUACUCUUAGAUGUGUUAGUUUUUUGUUGUUUUUUUUUACAUUAUUUACUGAUUUUAUUGCAACAUUACUGUGUAAUUUAACAAGGUCAUUAACAGUUUGUGGUAGAAGUGGUUGCAAUGUUACAUGUGUGUGUUUUUAGAAAUAAAACGUGAACCAGUACUAUGGGCAGUAAAAUAAUAUAGUAAUUUGUAAGUUAGUCAAUUGGGCAUUAUGUAUAACAGUGUCACUAAGUUAUUUUAGAGCUCAGUCCUGUCAUGGUUCUGUAGUUUACAGUAAACGUUUUCGGCAAUUUGAAACAGUAUUCGGUUUUAUCAAAAGCGGUACGGCCUUCUGUUUCCUUGGAAGUGGAUGGUUUAUUUCUGUCCGAAGUGGAAGAAGUGUUCACUGCUUACUGUGUAGAUGUAAAAACUGAAGGAAAGAAAAGAACACUUUCAGAUAUCACUUGUGUUUGAUCAACUUUGAUUUUUCCCAUAGGACCCCUAUUCCAGCACAUCUGGUCCAGCUUUGCUGCCAGGAUGUGAUGAGCAGAGGCAACAUAUCCUUUAAUUACUCCUAAAUCAGACCUAUUUAUACUACACAUCUGCUGCCAGAUCUUUGUUAUGCACAGACAUUCUUUGUUCCCGAGAGUCUACAGGAGAACUGUUUCUUUUUUCAUCCCCCCCCGUCUUAUACAAAGUCCUCUGUGUUCACAAAGCUCUACCAGGCCACUACAUCUCAUUUAGCGUACUGUUGUAUCAAACUAUGACAUCAGCCCAUUCUAAUUGUUUCCAGACCUGGCGAGGGGUUGAGUUUUCAUUUUAUUUUCCAUUUCUCGACGCAGGCCUCCUUUGCUCAGCAUCCAGAGGAAGAAAAAAAAAAAGCAGCAGAUAGUGAGGAAACUACACAUGAUGUCAUGUAGAUGGGACACGCCGUGCCAAAAUCUUGUGACCAACUUUCCAGGAAGCUAUCACUUUCCCCCUGCCGUUUCCUUUGCUCUAUUCUCCCCCCGCUCUGUCUUUUUUCAUUCUUCUUGCAAAAGCAGAGUCAAGUUUUUUUUUUUUUUUUUUUUUUUUUUCCUAACAGUAUUCGGGCAGCACAUCUGUGGGAAUUCACCAGAUAAAGCAGUUUUCAGCUGCUUGUCUCUGACUUGCGGAUGCCUCUUUGGCGUCGGCCCAACUCCAGUGUAUCCAGCUUCUCUUUGCUCUGCGACGGCUGUAAAGAUUAAAAGAAGGGAGGGGAUUAAAACCAAAUUGGGUGUUGAUGGAAAUGGAGCUGAGAUGCAGAAAGGACCAUAUGUAUUGAGUUGAAGAAACGGUAUUUUAUGAGCAGUGAGUGGGCCUCUGCCUGGAAUUCUGAAUGACCUCAUGCUGGAGCGCAGCGCCGCGCAGCCAGGACUCCAGAGAUGGAGUGGGCCUUCACCAGACGGGACGGCUAGACGGCAUCGUAACUCUAGAAGAGGAAAGGGAAGACUCGGAGGCCAAGCAGGCUCAGAGAGUCACAUGUACUAACUAAUCCUGCGAAGACUUUCAUUUCUUAAUUUACUUAAAACUCAUCAAACGGCAAUGAGUUUAGGAGCACUCUUCUCAAUUCUGAAACUGAUGUCGCCCCCCCGGGCCUCGUGCUGAAACAAUAAGGCGGUAAAACAUCACCUGCUUUCGCAUUAGACCAACAAAUAGCUUCAUUUCUCUCUCAUAAAGAAAAAUAAACUCCAGUUUGCUGCUCCCCGUGGUGCUUUGCCAAAACAAAGCCAGACUCCGGGGCUAAUUUCUGAUGCAGACAUUUCCUAACAAGGUGCUUUGUGCCUCUGUUGUGUAAAAUAAUCAGAGUCCCAGUUUAAUAAAGAAAGGUUUUAAAUGA